UUGGAGGGUCCUGGAGAAGCCUCUAAGCUCUGAGCAAUUAGCAAACCCAAGCAUUCUUGAACCAGGGUGAUAAGCUUGCCCAGCUCCCAUCUUCCUUCCUUGAUUCAUAUAGCUCAAAUACUCAUCUGGAAGACACUCCUGCUUAGGAAAUAUUUGGAUCUGGUGGGACCUGAGGGAGAUGAAACAAGAGCUAUUCUAAGAGACGUGAACUGGGAAAGGUAUGAGGGAGCCAGUAAGCCUUAAGUGAAGAAAGCACAGUAGAAACUCCCACUUCUAUGAUGGAUCGUGGAAACUCUGACUUGGAGUGUGUUAAGAAGAGAAUCAGUGAGGAUGAAAGUUCUCCUUUUUAAAAGAAGGACAAGAAUUAUCUGGCACCCUCAAGCAUCCUUUGUGCCACAAUGAACUUUUCCCAGUGACCUGAGCCAAAAAGGAGCAUCUCAGAGUUAUGUUAUUAGAGACAUCCAAGUCAAUAAACAUUUAUGUGUGAACAACUGAGGGGCUGCCACUGAAGUAAAACAAUUCACACACUAGUUCUUUAGUGGCCAAGACUCCUCAUUGGAUAUACGUCUUCUAGGCAUGCACACUUCUCUACCCCUGGAAUCAGACUGGCUUCUUCAUUCCAUGAUGUCUUUUGCAACUCUGGGAGUAUUAUAUGACCUGAGCUCCUCCUGUGGAAGAGACAUAGGAGAGAGGAAACAUGGCCAGGACUAAUCCUCUGCAGACAGGUGGCUGUAGGUCUGGGUUUCAGUGCCUGCAUUGAAGACAGACAAGGUGACUGUUGACCUUUUCCUCUUGUUGGCAGAUGGUUGAUUGCUUUACCGUCAAAUAUUAAGAGCACACACAAAAUAGGAAGGGAGGAGGAGAAGCAGUCGUGUGACUCUUUUAACAAAAAAGCAAAGCUGUUUCACAUGCUGUGCCUCACCCCUGCACAAGCCCAAUAAUCUCUCAGAAGCCAGAAACACACCAUUUACCCACCACUGGCUGCACGGACAAAGUCAACAUUUAGCUGUGUGCACAGAACUCCAAGUCAUGGUUUAGAGGAUGGAAGGCAGGAGUUAGAUACUGGGCAAACAGGGUCUACUGUAGAGUCACAUUUCCUCACACAAAGACCAAUACAGCAAGAAUUAGUUCCUUCUCUCAAUAGCCUCAACUCCAGCUUGGAGACCAACAUGACCUACUUCGAAAAAUAAUCACUGUGCAGUAAGCAGGGGAAAGGCGCUUCAUUUUCCUGGGAUGACCAUAAAGAGUCCUAGGAACAGACUGACCUCACUCUAAAAGGAAAGGAGCUCCAGAGAUGUGAAGAAAAAAGUGUGUCACAUUGCUCCAAUAGGAUGUCUGGUGUGUCAUGCAGGGUAGGUGGGAAGGUAGGGGCUGACAAGAAAAUGAUACAAGAGUUAAAGGGACGAUGUCCCUGCCCUACUGGCUCUGUGAGCAAUAGCAUUGAGAAGAUGAUGGGUAGAUACAAUUUGCCCUUGUUCACCUUGAGGUUUUGCAUCAUUUCCUUUGGGAACCACUUUUCCAUAUUCUACAAGACUGCCGUCACAUGGCCCAGCUCUCUGUUGCCUGAGAGUUGAGCCCUGACCCAAGAAGAACACCAAUCCAAAUCCUUUAUGGAACUGAUAUGGAUGCUGAAAAUGAGGUUCUGUUCCAAUAAAUAAAUGGAGCUCCCAA